UACGUAGGGGGCAAGCGUUGUCCGGAAUCAUUGGGCGUAAAGCGCGUGUAGGCGGCUCGAUAAGUCCGCUCUGAAAGUCCAGGGCUCAACCCUGGGAUGCGGGUGGAUACUGUCGGGCUCGAGUCCGGAAGAGGCGAGUGGAAUUCCGUGGUGUAGCGGUGAAAUGCGCAGAUAUCAGGAGGAACACCAAUGGCGAAGGCAGCUCGCUGGGACGUGACUGACGCUGAGACGCGAAAGCGUGGGGAGCAAACAGG
rnacentral:rRNA from 1 species